UGGGGAAUAUUGCACAAUGGGGGAAACCCUGAUGCAGCGACGCCGCGUGGAGGAAGAAGGUUUUCGGAUUGUAAACUCCUGUCUUCGGGGACGAUAAUGACGGUACCCGAGGAGGAAGCCACGGCUAACUACGUGCCAGCAGCCGCGGUAAAACGUAGGUGGCAAGCGUUGUCCGGAAUUACUGGGUGUAAAGGGAGCGCAGGCGGGUCGGCAAGUUGGAGGUGAAAGCUGUGGGCUCAACUCACAAACUGCCUUCAAAACUGCCGGUCUUGAGUGGUGUAGAGGUAGGCGGAAUUCCCGGUGUAGCGGUGGAAUGCGUAGAUAUCGGGAGGAACACCAGUGGCGAAGGCGGCCUACUGGGCACUAACUGACGCUGAGGCUCGAAAGCAUGGGUAGCAAACA
rnacentral:rRNA from 2 species